rnacentral:rRNA from 1 species
GUAUUAAUAAGCGGAGGACAAGAAACCAACAGGGAUUCCCGUAGUAAGGGCGACUGAAGUGGGAAAAGCUCAAGCUUAAAAUCGCAGGGCGCAAGCUCUGAGAAUUGUAGUUUUGUAGGCAACUUUUAGGGGAGGCGGUGGACUAAGUCUCUUGGAAUAGAGCACCAUAGAGGGUGACAGUCCUGUGAGUCUGCUGCUGAACCGUAUACUGUUGCUUGAAGAGUCGGGUUGUUUGGGAGUACAGCCCUAAGUGGGAGGUAAAUUCCUUCUAAAGCUAAAUACUGACAGGAGACCGAUAGCGCACAAGUA